rnacentral:ncRNA from 2 species
AUCAGCACUGGCGCGACAGGUUCCCUGCAAGGGGAUGAAAAGGGAAGUCGGGUGAAAUGCCCGCGCUGCCCCUGCAACUGUAAGCGGCGAGCCUUCCGGCCAUCGCGCCAUUGAACCGACAGGGUUUCGAGAAGGCGGCCGGACAGCAUCGACCCGCGAGCCAGGAGACCUGCCUGACGCCGUCGUUCUUC